UAUUGGGCAAUGGGCGCAAGCCUGACCCAGCAACGCCGCGUGAAGGAAGAAGGCUUUCGGGUUGUAAACGUCUUUUAAGGGGGACGAACAAAUGACGGUACCACUUGAAUAAGCCACGGCUAACUACGUGCCAGCAGCCGCGGUAAUACGUAGGUGGCCAGCGUUAUCCGGGUUUAUUGGGUGUAAAGGGCGUGUAGGCGGGAAUGCAAGUCAGAUGUGAAAACUAUGGGCUCAACCCAUAGCCUGCAUUUGAAACUGUAUUUCUUGAGUGCUGGAGAGGCAAUCGGAAUUCCGUGUGUAGCGGUGAAAUGCGUAGAUAUACGGAGGAACACCAGUGGCGAAGGCGGAUUGCUGGACAGUAACCGACGCUGAGGCGCGAAAGCGUGGGGAGCAAACAGG
rnacentral:rRNA from 1 species